rnacentral:sRNA from 1 species
GGAAGCCGCCGGGGCCGCCUAGAGAAGAGGCUGUGCUCUGGGGCUCCGGCUCCUCAGAGAGCCUCGGCUAGUUUUAAUUUCUAGUAUGGUAAAAUACUGGUAAACAAAGCAUUUGGGACCCUCAGCUUUUAAUAAUGUGAAGAUAUCCUGAGACCAAGAAGUUGGAGGAAGCUGCUAAGCAUACCAAUGGAUUAUUAUCGCCAGCAAUAUGGUAACAGUUAGACCAUUCUGUAGCCCCCUAAAAGACAAGAGAAUAUAUUAAAAGAGAAGUAACAAACUGCAAAACAGAAAAGAUUAAAGGGCCACACUUGCAUCAUAUGAAGAACUCUAGAGGUUGAAUUGGAGCUGUAGCGGCCAGCCUAUGUUACAGCCACAGCAACCUGGGAUCCAAGCUCAAUCUGUGACCUAUAACACAGAUCAUGGCAAUGCUGGAUCCUUAACCCACUGAGCGAGGCCAGGGAUCAAACCUACAUCCUCAUAGAUCCUAGUCGGGCUCGUUAACUGCUGAGCCACAAAGGGAACUCCCUUAUUUAUUUGCAUUUUAUUUUUGUCUUUUUAGGGCUGCAUCCACAGCCUGUGUAAGUUCCCAGGCUAGGGGCUGAAGCGGAGCUAUAGCUGUCAGCCUACACCACAGCCACAGCAGUGCCAGAUCCUAGUGGUGUCUGUGACCUACACCACAACUCACAGCAAUGCCGGAUCCUUAACCACUGAGCCAGGACAGGGAUUAAACACACAUCCUCAUGGAUACUAGUUGGGGUUCCUUAUAGCUGAAGUCAUCAUG